CAUGGAGUCAUACCGCCGUCAAGCGGAAUAUGUUUCUGGUGAUUAGAGCCCAGCAGUGGGCAAAAGCCAAGGUACUAAUAUAGCCACCGCCGUCACUCCACAGUCAUCCAGAGUGAAGGUGGACGAUUAAGCCCUGGCUGGCACUUGUCUAGAGCUCCUUCCGAGGUCUAAGGGAACCCUGGCUCCUCCACCAGGGUACACAGUCUGGCAGUAGGCGGCCCGCCAUGGCUGCCACAGGCUGCUGUCUUCCCGACGAGGAAAGGGGCCUCAGCAUCACGGCUACCCCAGGCAGGGGCAUCUGCAACUCCUCAAACAGACCCCAGACCCCGAGGCCAGACCUGAGCUCAGUCAGCAGCCAGCGGCUUCUCCUGGGCCCUCCCUAAAAUGGCGCUGCGGGAAGUUCCGCCCCCUGGGCUGGUUGGUGCAGCACAGCUGCCUGCAGGGUCCCAGGGCUCCUGGACCUGUUGCUUUCCCUGGGUAGGGUCCCGAGGGCAUGCAGUCUUCUCCCUAUAUUUUGGACCCCUGGUCAGAUAGACUUUGCUAGGCCUAAGUCUAGCCUUCCCAGACCGUCCUUGCUCUCACAUUCCCAUCUCACACCAACUUGGUGCCAGGCUGCUGGCACAAGGUAAGUGUCCCUUGUGCCUGGGCUUUUCAGAAACCAUUUCUGUUAGAUGGAACCGUGGCUCUACAAAUGACAGUAACUACUUACCUUACUUCCCAUCGUGGCUCCUCUCCUCCAUUCGUGGCUUGAAAAGCACCAGACACAGCACCCCCCCCCCCCCUUUGCCACCCCCCUCUUCAUCAGGGUUGCUGAUGUCCUGCAGUUUGGCCCAUUUGGGGCUUAACAAGGCUGUACCCUUCUUCCUUCCCUCUGGAUUUACCCCUUGGUAGGGGUCCCUUUUUUCCAUGUAUUUUCCAAAUGUCCU
rnacentral:lncRNA from 1 species